ensembl:lncRNA
UCACUAAAAUUGUUUUUUUUUAAUUCAUGUUUUAUCUUCACCAGGACACCAAGCAAGCCAGGACCACCACUCAAAUCAUGGGUGCAUGAUGCCCAUGAUGGUACUCCAGAUGAUCUGAAGAUGUUGGAGCUGUUUUAUCAUCAGACUCUUUGAGGGCCCAGAGGCAGCUUCCCUCCGCUCCCAUGUCAGUCAGAGGAGAGGGAGUGGGUGCAGAAGGGAGAAAAGAGCCAGGAACGACCACAGCUGCUGGAUGAUGGGACUUGGCCAAGGCCCCCUGCUUCCGCUCUCAUUUUCCAGCGCUGAGGAGUGGAGCAUGCUCAAUAAGAGCAGAGUGGACUAGGCCUCAGGGGCAGUGGGGGCACAACCUGUGAGAAGCGGCAGUGCCAACCCACUGAGCCAUUUGGAGGUACUGAUGACUCAAAGUGACUUUCAUAAGUUCCACUCUGAGAGUUAUCAUUGACUGGUCCAGCCAGCAGUGAACAUGCACGUCAUUUUACUAUAGUUUCCAAGGUCCAGAGGGAGUUGACAUGGCGAGAUGGUACAAAAGAUAAUACAAGAUUGUCAGUCUGUAUCAGCUGUCAGGGACAAAGUAAAUGCAUUUCUGUAGCUGUAGAGGUACUAGAAAUGCCAAAGUCAAGCUGCAAGGGCCUAAGCUGCUUUGGUUAAAGAUGGCUGAAAAAUAUAAAAUUGUUUAAAUAUAUUCAGUUUACCAUAUUGGCAAGCUUUACCUUUUAUAAAUAAUAGUGAUUGAUAAACAACACGGACAUGACCUUUUUCGGGACUGGCCAUCAAUCCAGGGUGCUGCUGCCCAAAACACUGGGAUAGACUCCAGCACCCCCGUGACCCUACAGAGGACAAGCGGUUUGGAGAAUGUAAAUAUUACU